GAACAACAUGAAGGUGAGUAAAUGUUAACAACAGAAUGCAUUUUUGGUUGAAGUAUCCCUUUAAGGAUCUUGAACAUAUCCAGUGGUAACAUAUGGUCUUUCUCCAAUGUUUAUCCAAAGUCAUGUUUAAAUAUAGAGUGAUAAAUAACAGAAGUGAAUCAUUCAGCUUUCCAGCAUUCUAAAAGCUCAGUGGAGAAACAAUGAACUCCGUUUCAACUCCUUGCACUUUUGACGUGUCAAUAUGAAUAAAGUUCAAUCUUCUGAAAGAUGUAACCUGUGAAAGACGCUUGUGUGGAGUUUCUGUGGCUAAAAUGAAGUGAGACAGAGCUCCACUAGUAUGUUUCCAUAAAAACAAAUUUUCUACAUCAAGCAAUCAGUAAAUCAGGCUUACAUUAUGCUGGACAAGAUACAAUGGAAAAACACAAAUGGUAAGAAAUAAGUAAUGAAAUCCUUCAUUUUUCUUUUUCUUCAUUGUAGUUGGACAAAGUACAUGUCUUUAAGGAACCCCCUUUUGAGCUUAGCCUGUCUAGACUCAUUGUCCAUCUGCCCACCGCCUGGAGAUGUGAAAUAUUGAUUAGCUCAUUCACCCACAUGAUCCAAUGCUGGCUUCUCCUGUCAGGCUUAUUUAAACUCUCACCCAUGAAGGGGCUCCCUUGUGAAGGCCAGUUGAAACCAGCAAUCAGCAAGGAACCUGAAGCAGGGGCAAAGCUCAGAUCCAGAUCAGACAUAUCAUGAAAAGAAAAUCUCAUUUUGCCAGUUCCUCUUAAAUCUCACCUUCUCUCUGGCUGUCCCUGACCAUCCUGUGAACACCGUUUCCAGGGCAACAUCCCUGGUGGCCAGCAGAUGCAGAGAACAAUGCCUGUCCAAAGCAGAGGGACCUCUUCAGAAUCUGCAAUGUCAAGACAGGUACCAGAUGUUCUAUUUCACACAUUUUUUUUCCAAUCAAUUAAUGCAUUUUCAGAUAGAUAGAUAGAUAGAUAGAUAGAUAGAUAGAUAGAUAGAUAGAUAGAUAGAUAGGAAAAGUUUAAAUCAGUGUUAUAAGGUUGUCUUGCAUUGUACAAAUUCAGACCCUGCUGCAAGCAAUCUCGACAGAUUUAUGUGCUUUUACAGAAAUGUGUUCGGUUCCUUGAUUUCUGUAAUGUGUUUCUCAGCCGAGGAACAAAGGGCUUAGCAAUGUAAUUCAGUGAGAGCAGGAAAGAUGUCUAGAGCUGAGCUCUGUGCUACAUGCAUUAAACAUGACAUGUAGGGCUAUGUGUAUGGUAGUAGCCGGGACUUAAAACGAAAAUGUUCUUCACAGGUGAAGACAGGCUGUAUUCUGUGCUAAGUCGCACAUCACUGAGGAGAUUUAAACUUUCGUUUAAUCUGUGACAGGAAGAAUAAGGCUGCAAAACA
ensembl:lncRNA